UCCAGACGACAAUGGAGUUGAAGGUUUGGCACAGACAUCUCUUCUUUGUGGCUGUGUCCGUGGCCUGUCGCGUGCAGCCUUGAUGGUGGCCAUGGGGGUUUGUCUGUGCCUCCAUACCAGCAAGUUUCAGGAGUUGCAGGUGGCGUUUUUGAUGGCAGCAACGGUCUACGGCAGCACUGCACUUCCAAAAGAGAUGACUCACCGUCUCAGGCGCGCCAUAACCUGGUCGGGGGCAUGUUGAGUGCACUGACAUGACGGGAGUGCAUCACGGUCCUGAUGAGGAGGGCUUCAUGGCAGGUCCCGAAGUCUGUUUGGGACAGCAGGAUGGUUAACAUUGCAUCCCGUUCCUGCGCAGCAGAAAUAAGAGCA